CAGAGCCGUCAAGGAAGAGUGAUUUGCGGCUAGAAUCCUUGCAGGAAUCCUGAAGGGCACUGAGGGCACACAUACGUAGGUGGAUUUAAAUUCUAUUAUUGGCAGCUGCCAAGAGUGUGAGGGUGAUCUGGCUACGACAUGCUUCACCUCACUGAUCGCCAGGGUUGAUUCAGCUCAUCUGGCUGGCUAGGCAGAUGUGCCCUUUCUGCCUCACUGCCGCGUGCUUCCCAGUUAAAGAAGACGACCUUCCAGAAAGGAAGAAAAAAUAGGGGGAAGAAGACGAACGUUAAAGAAAUGUAACUCAAUGGGCAAAUCCUACACAGCGUGAUGAAACCCGAAGGUGUUACGUCACUGGGUAGCUGUUACCUUGUGUUUACACUACGGCUGGCACUGUGUUCCACAAGCGGGACGAGACGUGAUCUGGAGCAGCAUUUGGAGUCCCAGCAAAUGUCCUCCUGAAGCUCCAUGCUGUCAACGGGUGAGGCUUCUUCGGAUCUAGAGCGUGUGAUGCUGGAACUGAUUCAUGGAGCAAUGCGAGGUCAAGGGCGCAAAGCUGACGGGAACCAGUCCUCCUCUGUGAUGCCCUCUGCCGUGUGCCGCCCUGACUUGGAGCCAGAUGAUUACGAGCUGAAACCUCGACAGACUGUGCACUAAAUAAACCUUU